AGUGAACGCUGGCGGUAGGCCUAACACAUGCAAGUCGAACGGCAGCACAGUGAGAGCUUGCUCUUACGGGUGGCGAGUGGCGGACGGGUGAGGAAUACAUCGGAAUCUACUUUUUCGUGGGGGAUAACGUAGGGAAACUUACGCUAAUACCGCAUACGACCUACGGGUGAAAGCAGGGGAUCUUCGGACCUUGCGCGAUUGAAUGAGCCGAUGUCGGAUUAGCUAGUUGGCGGGGUAAAGGUCCACCAAGGCGACGAUCCGUAGCUGGUCUGAGAGGAUGAUCAGCCACACUGGAACUGAGACACGGUCCAGACUCCUACGGGAGGCAGCAGUGGGGAAUAUUGGACAAUGGGCGCAAGCCUGAUCCAGCCAUACCGCGUGGGUGAAGAAGGCCUUCGGGUUGUAAAGCCCUUUUGUUGGGAAAGAAAAGCAGCAGGUUAAUACCCCGCUGUUCUGACGGUACCCAAAGAAUAAGCACCGGCUAACUUCGUG
rnacentral:rRNA from 1 species